AUACGUAGGUGGCAAGCGUUAUCCGGAAUUAUUGGGCGUAAAGAGUGAGCAGGCGGCAGUCAAAGUCUGGAGUUAAAACGUGUGGCUUAACCAUACGUUGCUUUGGAAACUAGACAGCUAGAGUGCAGGAGAGGUUAGCGGAAUUCCAUGUGUAGCGGUAAAAUGCGUAGAUAUAUGGAGGAACACCAGUGGCGAAGGCGGCUAACUGGCCUGUAACUGACGCUCAGUCACGAAAGCGUGGGGAGCAAAUAGGAUUAGAUACCCUAGUAGUCCACGCCGUAAACGAUGAGUACUAAGUGUUGGGAAACCAGUGCUGAAGUUAACGCAUUAAGUACUCCGCCUGAGAAGUACGUUCGCAAGAAUGAA
rnacentral:rRNA from 1 species